rnacentral:rRNA from 2 species
AAACUUUCAACAACGGAUCUCUUGGUUCUCGCAUCGAUGAAGAGCGCAGCGAAAUGCGAUACCUAGUGUGAAUUGCAGCCAUCGUGAAUCAUCGAGUUCUUGAACGCACAUUGCGCCCGCUGGUAUUCCGGCGGGCAUGCCUGUCUGAGCGUCGUUU